rnacentral:rRNA from 1 species
UACAGAGGCCUCGAGCGUUAAUCGGAAUCACUGGGCUUAAAGGGUGCGUAGGCGGCGCUGCAAGUGCCUUGUGAAAUCCCAUCGCUUAACGAUGGAACUGCUCGGUAGACUGCAGUGCUUGAGGUUGGUAGGGGCUGCCGGAACUCUAGGUGGAGCGGUGAAAUGCGUAGAUAUCUAGAGGAACGCCCAAGGCGAAGGCAGGCAGCUGGGCCAAUUCUGACGCUUAGGCACGAAAGCGUGGGGAGCAAACGGG